rnacentral:rRNA from 1 species
GACGAACGCUGGCGGCGUGCCUAAUACAUGCAAGUCGAGCGAAGUUUUUCUGGUGCUUGCACUAGAAAAACUUAGCGGCGAACGGGUGAGUAACACGUAAAGAACCUGCCUCAUAGACUGGGACAACUAUUGGAAACGAUAGCUAAUACCGGAUAACAGCAUUAACUGCAUGGUUGAUGUUUAAAAGUUGGUUUUGCUAACACUAUGAGAUGGCUUUGCGGUGCAUUAGCUAGUUGGUGGGGUAAAGGCCUACCAAGGCGACGGUGCAUAGCCGACCUGAGAGGGUGAUCGGCCACACUGGGACUGAGACACGGCCCAGACUCCUACGGGAGGCAGCAGUAGGGAAUCUUCCGCAAUGGGCGAAAGCCUGACGGAGCAACGCCGCGUGAGUGAAGAAGGAUUUCGGUCCGUAAAGCUCUGUUGUUAGGGAAGAAUGAUUGUGUAGUAACUAUACACAGUAGAGACGGUACCUAACCAGAAAGCCACGGCUAACUACGUG